AUGAAGGUCGAUGCUACUGAUCAUGCAAAUGCCCUAGAUAACGCCAUUGGUAAAGAAAGGUUAUUCUACAUAGGAAUGAAUACUGAUUUGGCUGCCAAGUACCCUAUAAAAUAUGUCCUAAAGAAAAGUUUCUCUGUCGACAAUAAUAAUUCAGUGCCUCUAUUACCACCAGCAAAGGUUAGCAACUUUUUACUAUUAUUCGCUUACUAUAUCACACUAUUUAUACUUAGCACGACAAACUUUUCAGACAGCCCAACAGACAAACCUACUGCCCCCUCCAACUUCAUCCAACAUAGGUGCUCAAAGGUUACCAACCACUUAUCAAAUUUACUAUGA
rnacentral:rRNA from 1 species